GGCGGCGUGCUUAACACAUGCAAGUCGAGCGGAAAGGCCCUUCGGGGGUACUCGAGCGGCGAACGGGUGAGUAACACGUGAGCAACCUGCCCCUGACUCUGGGAUAAGCCUGGGAAACUGGGUCUAAUACCGGAUACGACUCCGGCCGCAUGGUCUGGUGGUGGAAAGUUUUUUUCGGUUGGGGAUGGGCUCGCGGCCUAUCAGCUUGUUGGUGGGGUAGUGGCCUACCAAGGCGACGACGGGUAGCCGGCCUGAGAGGGCGACCGGCCACACUGGGACUGAGACACGGCCCAGACUCCUACGGGAGGCAGCAGUGGGGAAUAUUGCGCAAUGGGCGGAAGCCUGAGCCAGCGACGCCGCGUGGGGGAUGACGGCCUUCGGGUUGUAAACCUCUUUCAGCAGGGACGAAGUUGACGUGUACCUGCAGAAGAAGCGCCGGCUAACUACGUGCCAGCAGCCGCGGUAAUACGUAGGGCGCAAGCGUUGUCCGGAAUUAUUGGGCGUAAAGAGCUCGUAGGUGGCUGGUCGCGUCUGCCGUGAAAGCCCGCAGCUUAACUGCGGGUCUGCGGUGGAUACGGGCCGGCUAGAGGUAGGUAGGGGCAAGUGGAAUUCCUGGUGUAGCGGUGAAAUGCGCAGAUAUCAGGAGGAACACCGGUGGCGAAGGCGGCUUGCUGGGCCUUACCUGACGCUGAGGAGCGAAAGCGUGGGGAGCGAACAGGAUUAGAUACCCUGGUAGUCCACGCUGUAAACGUUGGGCGCUAGGUGUGGGGAUCUUCCACGAUCUCCGUGCCGGAGCUAACGCAUUAAGCGCCCCGCCUGGGGAGUACGGCCGC
rnacentral:rRNA from 1 species